rnacentral:misc_RNA from 1 species
CUUAAUCCCAAACAAGUUGAUGAAAAAAAAAAAAAAACUAUCAAAAUCUCCCAAAUUGCAUUUUCUUCUUCUUAUUCUCUCUCACCCUUCCUCUUCCUCUUAGUUUAAAAGCAUGGUUGAGGCUGAGAAAAUCUAAAAUCCAGGCAAAACUGAGAGGUCUGCUAUACCUCUUGGCAGAUCAGAAAUUUUCUUCAGCAAAGCAAGCCUGUUCUGUCUAAUUCUUUCAUCCUCCACCAUGACAAAGACAUUAUUGAAGAAAUCCUCAAGUGGUUGUAACAGUUCUGAAGAUAUUUCAACAAACUCAUCUACCUCAA